rnacentral:lncRNA from 1 species
GCACCCUUACCCACUGAGCCAUCUUGCUGGCCCACGUUCCUAUUGUCCCUAAACAAGUGUCUGCUACUUCUGUUUAUGAAGCACUUAAUGGACCUAAUUGCUCCAUUAAUCUGGAGCCGAGCAGAUUCAGGAGGGUGUCUGUCAUUUGAUGCACAAGACUUGAGCGUGUACGGAUAGAGAUUCAUGGGGGGGCGGGGCAGAGGGGGCUGGAGUGGCCUACCCUGUUCCCCCACCUCCACCAUAUCAAUGAAUGACCAUAUCGGGACUCUCGAUGGUGAGGCUCAUAUGAGGUGCUCCUCUUAGGACUGCUCCCCUCUCUAGGAGAUGAGACAGAGAAGCCCCAAGCUGUUUUGGGCUGAUACCUGUAUUAAAGAAUAAGUCCGGUUCUGCUGCUUUGGUGUCUGGUGGGCAGUGAGGUUGUAGAGGGCUUUAAGGUCAUUGCCCUUCUCUUUUCCAGGUUGAUUGGCCACACCCCAUCCUACUGUGAUGAGUCACUGUUUGGCUCCCGGCCACAGGGCACCAGCAAGGAGAGGUCUCGGACAGCCGUGGAGGAUGCGGCCAAGCUCCGGACCCUUUUCUGGACCCCACCAGCCACCCCUAGGGGCAGCCACUCACCUCGCCCCAGGGAGACCCCACUUCGGGCCAUUCACCCAACUGGACCUCCCAGGACAGAGCCCAGAGUGGCCACAGGCUCCCAGAUGGUGUCCCGGGAUGGGCUGGAUGCUCCCCGCUCUCUGGGACAGAGGCG